UGGCAAAUGAUUUCUUUAGAUCAGGUCUAAACAUAGCUGGAAAUACUUCAAAUCAACUUGGAUCAACUGUAACUAAUGUGAACGUCAACAAUUUACCUGGACUCAACACUCUGGGCAUUUCGUUAGCUCGUAUCGAUUAUGCACCAUAUGGUCUCAACCCACCUCAUGCUCACCCUUGAGCAACUGAGGUUCUUGCUGUACUCGAGGGCACUCUCUAUGUCGGUUUUGUACUUUCAAAUCCCGGACCAAAUAUGAAGAACAAACUCUUUACAAAGAUUCUAAUACCUGGAGAUGUGUUUGCUUAGGGAGAGCGUAGGAUGUGUGAGUUUGGGUUCCACAAUGUCCAAAGUAAUAGAAAGAGUUCUUUGAUGUGUUGAGUCAACUUUUGAUGUUCUUGUGUCACACUUAAUCCAUGGUGUUUAUAAGAGUAAAUGUUAUUAAUGAUUUAUUUGUAUUGAGGGAAAGUGUUAGUCCCAAUUGAUACUAUAUGAGGUCACUUUAGGACAGUUGAAUUUUCUUGGAUUUUCUCUUGGGGGGGGGUCUUAUUUUGUUUGCUUGAGGACCAAGCAAAAGCUUGUGUUUUGGGGAGUUGAUAACUAGGGAUUUUAAUAAAUUUAUACUCCUUCAUGCUUAAGUUUUGAUUAGAAAUAUGUACAAAAAAGUCCCAAAAGGCUCACAAGUUGUGCUUGAUUGCAGGUUUUAUCAACAAGAUAACAAGAUGUCAAAGAUUAACUCAAAAAUGAGUGAAACUUGCACAAAUACCAAGACAAGACAAAGCUUAGGCAAAACAGGGCCAGUGCGACCGCACACCAUUCUGUGCGGUCCGCACAAGUGAGGUUUGGAGGGUAUGCAACUCAGGCGAAAGGGGCAAUGCAGCCGCACUAGAUUUUCUGCGGUCCGCAUUGGAGUCACUCCGGCCGCACUCGAUUUAUUGUAGUCCACAGAGGCUAGAGUUCAGAGAGUUGCCAGUUGAGGAUUGAAGCCCAAUGCGGUCCGCGCUCCAUUUCAUGUGGACCGCACUAGAAGCCACCACGGCCACACUCGAUUUCGUGCAGUCCGCAUUGCACCAGUUCAGAGAAAUGGAUUUUCAAGUCAAGAGACUUAGUUCGGCCGCACGUGAUUUUGUGCACUCCGCACUAGCCCCGCUUCUGCGGAGUCAACCUUCAGGGCCAAAUGUGCAUCUACGACCCCGCUGCCGCAUCUGCGGUCACGCAGGUGCAGAAAGAACCUCGCAAAUAUGACUUCUUCCAGCCUCUUACUUAACCGCUUCUGCGACCCCUUCUCGCUUCUGUAAACUCAUACUUGCGGUGCCCACUCGCAGGUUUGGUUACGACCGCAGCAACAAAACUUCAGUUGCUCUUCAAAUUCAAUCCAAGUUCAUUCAACCACCUGAAAACAAAACGAGGCCCUAGGACCUCAACUAAACAUACCUACCAACCUCAUAUCCAAAUACAAACUUAGUCAAAACUUCAAUCAUCUCAAACAACAUCAAAAACACGGAUUAUAUACGUAUUCUAGCCUAAUGAACUUCGAAAUUUUCAAAUUCCACAAACGACAUCGAAAUCUAUCAAAUCACGUCCGAUUACCCUUAAAUUUUACACACAAGUCAUAAAUGAAUUCACGAAUCUACUCCAACUUUCAGAAAUCUAAUCUGACCCCGAUAUCAAAAAGUUCAUUCCCUAUCGAAGUUUCCAAAAUUUCAACGUUCGCCAAUUCACGCCUAAUUCUACUACGGACCUCCAUAUCACAAUUCGGGCGCACUCCCAAGUCCAAAAUCACCUAAUGGAGCUAACAGAAUCAUCAAAAUUUAAAUACGAGGUCGUUUCCAUAUAAGUCAACACCAGGUCAAUUUUUCCAACUUGAACUUUCAAAUAAUAGACUAAGUGUCUCAAUUCAUUCUAAAAUCUCAUCGGACUUGAACCAACUAACCCGGUAAGUCAUAAUACAGUUUUAGAACACAAACGAAGCAAAAAAAUGAGGGACGGACUACAACUCUUAAAAGAACCGCCCGAAUUAUUACACGCCUUAUGUUGGUUUAAUAUCUUUUUUGGAUUGCGUAGGACAUGAACUGCAUGCUCUAAUUAGGUUAUUUGUGCUCUAGAUAUCAUAGAAAGAAACUACUUUAGGUCACUGAGGCUAACGUAUAUCAUUAUUAGUCAUUUUUACUUAGUGCGCUCAGUUACUCCUUUAUUUAUUACAACGAUUAGCAUGUUAGCAGGCAGUGUUAGGGUAAAAAUAAGAACUUCCAGGUUGUUGUUGUUGUUGAGAUAGAAUGAAUUGUCCUCUCGCGUAACCAACUUAGUCAUCAGUUUAAUUAAUUUAAAAUUUGAUAAGUUUAAUAAAUCAGUGCGGUCGUUGAUCUUAUAAUUUCAUACUUAACGACGAAAGAAGUUUUAGUUAUUCUGAUGUCAAUGAAGAUUUAGACUAAAAUCUAAAUCAUAUAUUUCAGAUUAUUUUAUAUUCUUUUUAUAUUGGGAAGUAGCCAUCAUAUCUGAUUUCUCAACCUAAUAUUCAUUUUUCCCCCGAUCCUACUCAUUUUCAUGACUAUUUCAAAUGGAUAGCUGAUAUAAGUCCUAGGUUAAUAAGAUUUAGUCGUUGUAGUUGUUCAAAGAAACUUCAAUAUAAUAUUCAAGUGUUUAAAAAGUUUACACAUUGAUGACUUGUUUAGUGAAAAUUGAAGAGCAAAACAAAUAUUCAUCUAUAAAUACGAAAUGUUUUCUUGUUAUGUUUGUCAAAAACAAAUAUCAUUUGAAUUAUUUCAUAAGAUAGUUAAUUUAUAUAGUAGCAAUGGCUCUCAAUUCAUUUGCAUUAACCAUUACCAUAAUGGCUGUGCUAUUUUCAAUAAGUCAUGCAUUUGAUCCUAGUCCUUUGCAGGAUAUUUGUGUUGCUGUUGAUGACUCCAAAGCUGCUGGUAAAAAUAAUCAAAUUACUUUGAAUUUCAAAUUACAAUUAUGAUCUUCAAAGUUUUAAUUUUUCUUUUUUUUUUUUGUACUUUAGCCUAUCCCUUUUUUGGUUGAAAUGACAUUAAGUAGCCAUCCAGAGCCAGAGGCAGAUGCGGAGCUAGAAUUUAAAGUUUAUGGGUUCUGAAUUUACCUCGGUAACCCAUAAACCGUUUUAGUUACUGGGUUCGCAAUUAAAUAUUUGUACAUAUUUAAUCAAUUUUCUUAAUAUAAAUACAGUGUUUAAGCAAACGUGAUUGGGUUCGGCCGAACCCGCACCUAUAAGGCUAGCUCCGCCUCUGUCUAGAGGACCGCUAUUUAGAAAUUAGUCAAUGUGUCUUGAAUAUCAGUUUUUGCAGUUCAAUUUUUUAGGACACGAAGUAUUUUUACUUCAAAAUUUCAUGACAAAAUAAGUAUCGGCUAAUCACUACCUAAAAAUAGCCCCCCUUUGUUACCUUUUUAAAAAUUAAUUAAAGCUUCUUUUUGCAGUUUUUGUGAACGGAAAAAUUUGCAAGGAUCCAAAGCAGGUUGUGGCAAAUGAUUUCUUUAGAUCAGGUCUAAACAUAGCUGGAAAUACUUCAAAUCAACUUGGAUCAACUGUAACUAAUGUGAACGUCAACAAUUUACCUGGACUCAACACUCUGGGCAUUUCGUUAGCUCGUAUCGAUUAUGCACCAUAUGGUCUCAACCCACCUCAUAUACACCCCCGAGGAACUGAGCUUAUUACUUGUCUUGAGGGAAAACUCUAUGUUGGCUUUGUCCUUUCAAACCCUGGUCCAAAU
rnacentral:lncRNA from 1 species